CGUGGCGCACGGCUGAGUAACACGUGGCUAACCUACCCUCGGGAGGGGGAUAACCUCUCGGGAAACUGGGGCUAAUCCCCCAUAGGCGGGGAGGCCUGGAAGGGUUCCCCGCUGAAAAGGGGCACGGGGGGUUAUCGCCCGCGCUCCGCCCGAGGAUGGGGCUGCGGCCUAUCAGGUAGUUGGCGGGGUAACGGCCCGCCAAGCCGAAGACGGGUAGGGGCCGUGAGAGCGGGAGCCCCCAGAUGGGCACUGAGACAAGGGCCCAGGCCCUACGGGGCGCACCAGGCGCGAAAACUCCGCAAUGCGGGCAACCGUGACGGGGCUACCCCGAGUGCCCCCCUUGUGGGGGCUUUUCCCCGCUGUAAGGAGGCGGGGGAAUAAGCGGGGGGCAAGUCUGGUGUCAGCCGCCGCGGUAAUACCAGCCCCGCGAGUGGUCGGGGUGAUUAUUGGGCCUAAAGCGGCCGUAGCCGGCCCGGCAAGUCCCCCCUGAAAGCCUCGGGCUCAACCCGAGGAGCGGGGGGAUACUGCCGGGCUAGGGGGCGGGAGAGGCCGAGGGUACUCCCGGGGUAGGGGCGAAAUCCUAUAAUCCCGGGAGGACCACCAGUGGCGAAGGCGCUCGGCUGGAACGCGCCCGACGGUGAGGGCCGAAAGCCGGGGGAGCGAACCGGAUUAGAUACCCGGAGAGUCCCGGCUGUAAACGAUGCGGGCUAGGUGUUGGGCGGGCGAGAGAGCCCGCCCAGUGCCGCAGGGAAGCCGUUAAGCCCGCCGCCUGGGGAGUACGGCCGCAAGGCUGAAACUUAAAGGAAUUGGCGGGGGAGCACACAAGGGGUGGAGCCUGCGGCUUAAUUGGAGUCAACGCCGGGAAUCUUACCGGGGGCGACAGCAGGAUGACGGCCAGGUUAAAGGCCUUGCCUGACGCGCUGAGGGGAGGUGCAUGGCCGUCGCCAGCUCGUGCCGUGAGGUGUCCUGUUAAGUCAGGUAACGAGCGAGACCCCUGCCCCUAGUUGCAACCCUAGGGGUAGCCCUGGGGGCACACUAGGGGGACUGCCGCCGCUAAGGCGGAGGAAGGAGGGGGCCACGGCAGGUCAGCAUGCCCCUAAUCCCCCGGGCUGCACGCGGGCUACAAUGGCGGGGACAGCGGGUGUCGACCCCGAAAGGGGGAGGCAAUCCCUCAAACCCCGCCUCAGUUGGGAUCGAGGGCUGGAACUCGCCCUCGUGAACGUGGAAUCCCUAGUAACCGCGCGUCAACAUCGCGCGGUGAAUACGUCCCUGCUCCUUGCACACACUGCCCGUCGCUCCACCCGAGGGGGGCCUGGGUGAGGCCUCUGCCGCCGGGCGGGGACGAACC
rnacentral:rRNA from 1 species